UAUCUCUGUAGAGUCUGCAUAUCAAUAAGCGGAGGAAAAGAAACUAACAAGGAUUCCCCUAGUAACGGCGAGUGAAGCGGGAAGAGCUCAAAUUUGAAAUCUUCAAGGUUUGACCUUGACGAAUUGUAGUUUAAAGAAGUGUUUUCGGUUAGAGGAGUAGUAAAAGUUCUUUGGAAUAGGACAUCAUAGAGGGUGAGAAUCCCGUAUUUGACUAUUCUUUCUAGCUUUGUGAUACACUUUCAAAGAGUCGGAUUGUUUGGGAAUGCAGUCCAAAAUGGGUGGUAAAUUUCAUCUAAAGCUAAAUAUUGGCGAGAGACCGAUAGCGAACAAGUACCGUGAGGGAAAGAUGAAAAGAACUUUGAAAAGAGAAUUAAACAGUACGUGAAAUUGUCAAAAGGGAAGCGUUUGACACCAGUGUUGUUUUUCCGAAAAUCAAUUAAAAAUUGAUUCAUGCCAGGUUGUAUUGACCUUAUCAGCUUGCAAUUUGGUUUUGGGUCUCUUUUUGAUGCACUUUUCGGUUAACAAGUCAACAUCAAUUUCCUUUGCUGUAAAAAGGUAAGAGGAAGGUGGCUUCAAUUUCGGUUGAAGUGUUUAUAGCCUUUUAUCUCUGCAGUCGGGGAGAUUGAGGUCUGCAGCGUAGAUCCUUCGGGGCUAGAUACAUUUAUGCUAAGUUAUAGCUUUUCAUAGACAACUUGUUGACUAUGUUUAGUCAUGUAGCUUACUCGUAAGUGCUAUUUUACCUACGCUUAGGAUGUUGAGCGCAUGUCUCUCUCU
rnacentral:rRNA from 1 species